GGCGGGAGGAAAGGGAGGCGGAGGCGAGGGGAGAAGAGGAGAAGAAAGAGCCCCUCUUGGCCAAAGCCUCCUCCAAGCGGCGAGCAAGGCGCCCCGUGCCCACAUCCACCCGCCGGGUCCUGGCAGCAUCCACCGCUCCGGCUGCCGCGCUCGGGAUUCAGCAAGAGCCGCGCUGGACAGCUCCCUCCUUAUAGGCGCCAGCCGCCGCCGCCGCUUCGCCCGCUCCCUCCUCCUCCUCCUCCUCCUCCUCUUCCUCUCUGCCCCCGCCUCUCGCCUCGCUUCUCCCGCCCUCCGACGGUCACACCUCCCUCCCUCCCUCCCUCCCAACCGCUAGGACCAAAACCCUGGCGAGGAAGCUUCCGACUCAACCGGUUGCCCAACGCAUCGCUGUUUACACGCCAGGAAGGAAGGGAGCCGGCAGAGGCGCUCCGAGGCGUCACCUGGGAAGGAAGGGAAAGGAAGGGAAGGUGGGGAAGAAAAGCAGGCGGGGAGGCAAGGAAGGAAGGGAUGGGGAAGGAAGGGAGGAAGGGGUGGAUGGAUAGAUGGAAGGAGCAUCAAGCUCCUUGGGAUCUUGCCUGCCAAGGGAGGAGAAGGGAAAGCUCUGCAAAGAAGGCAGGGAAAAAACUGGGUUGCUGUGAGUUUUCCAGGCUGUAUGGCCAUGUUCCAGAAGCAUUAUAUCCUGACGUUUCAAAGGGAGGGAGGGAGGGAGGGUGGAUGGAUGGAUGGAGCAUCUAGCUCCUUGGGAUCUUGGCUGCCAAGGGAGGAAAAGAGAAAGCUCUGUGAGGAAGACAGGGAAAAAAGAAUUGGGUUGCUGUGAGUUUUCUGGGCUGUAUAGCCGUGUUCCAGAAGCAACAUUGUCUCCUGACGUUUCGUCCACAGCUAUGGCAGUCAUCCUCAGAGAUUGUGAGGGUUGUUGAAAACUAAGCAAGGGAGGUUUAUAUAUCUGUGGAAGGACAGGGGUGGGAGAAAGAACUCUUGUCUGUUUGAGGCAGGUGUGAAAAUUGCAUUUGACCACCUGGGACCUCAACACACUAGAGCUUGGAUCCACUUUAAAUCCAACUUUGGGAGGGGAAUUUAAACAACUCAGCCAGAAAGGUCCUGCGCCUCACCAAACUACAAACCCCAGAAUUCUGCAGGAGAUAAAAACUAGAUUUAAAGUGGAUUCAUGCUCUAGUGCAGUGGCUCUCAACUUGGGGUCCCCAGAUAUUUUUGGCCUAAAACUUCCAGAAAUCCCAGCCAGUUUACCAGCUGUUAGGAUUUCUGGGAGUUGAAGGCCAAAAACAUCUGGGCACCCCAGGUUGAGAACCACUGCUCUAGUGUGACGAGGCAUUGAUUAGCAUAGAAUAGCCUUUCAGCUUCAAGGUCUGGUUGCUUACUGCCUGGGGAAAUCCUUUGUUGAGAGGUGUUAGCUGGCCCUGAUUGAUUUAUGUCUGGAAUUCCUCUUUUGGGACCACAUUUUUUUCUCUCUCUUAUUUUCAAUUUUUUUUUACGUGUUGAAAAACUAAUAUGACACUUUGAAUGCAAACGAGGAGCGAAAAGAGCAAAAGUGAUGGUGGGAUCUGAAUUCUCUUUCUCUGUCACAUAGAGGGACACAUAUCUACAUGCACACUUUGAGAAAGAGGGAGAGAGAGGUGUGUGCCAAACAUGCACGCACACAUACUCCCCCCUCCAUACAUACACACUUACAUAUGUGUGCAUGCAUACAUAACACACACACACACCUGGAGAAAGGGAGAGAGAGGGGUACCUCCUAGGUUGUUUACAACAAGAAAGAGAGGGGGAGCCUAGGGAAUUGGAUUUUAAAAGCUAAUGUUUGAAAAGGAAUGACUUCUGUUAAAAUUAGGGGUCUCUUAUCUUUUCAUUUAUCACUAGACUUUGCCAAUCUUUCAUAAGCACACUUCUUAACCUAUGCAAGCCAGACCCCAGACCGCAAAGUGUGUCAGUCACUGCAGCCGACUUUCUUCCUUGCCUGGUGGCUUGGAUAAUUUGUCUCAACUGUCUGAAGUGUCAGAGUUAUGCUAAUUGACAGGAGAGGAACAAGUGUGGGACGGAGAUGGCUUCCUGUCCAGUGGGCAUCAAAAAUGCAAGGGGGAAAUGCUCCUGGUGCUUCACUUCUUUGCUGAUCUUUUUGCUGAUCAUCCCAGCACAGGGCUGCUGUCCUUUCCAGAACCUCAGUUUAAAAUUAUCAAGACUUAACCUUGUUGGUUUUGCUCCUGCUUCAGCCCACAUCAAUGGCAAGCUAUAUCAAAGGAGGAUAAAAAUUGCAUUAGUGAUCCCGACUUUAAUCCUUAAGGAGCAAAUUUAUUUGGCGCAUUAAAGCCUUUGUUGUGAGUAAUUUGCUGGUCCCCAGCCAUAAUAAACAUAGAGAGUGUGGUCAGAAAUAAUGAGGGUUUUUUUUAGAUCACUUGCCCACAUAUCUACGAUGGGCCCACAAGAGAAUGGUGCUCUUAAUUGCUGGCAUGCUGAAAAAAAGAAAGGAGGGGAGGGGGAACAGAAGCUUUUGGAUGUUUGGUGGAAAACUGCUUGCUUAGUGAUUAGAUAGUCUGGCGAAUUAAAAAGCAACAGCAAACUGGAUUUGGGGCUUUAAAGAGACAAACAAAAGCUAAAUCUCACUUCUGCGUGGUUUUUUUUUUAUUUUAAAAAUGCUACCGCAACAUUUCCUUAAGAUAACUUUAUAUGAAAGGGAGAAAGAGAUCAAAAUUCUGUGAUGAGGAAGGGAGAAGGAGAGGGUGGGAUUCUGGCUGACUUUCAGCUAAAUCAAAUUCUUAUAAAUGUUUUAAUUGCAGAGGAGAGAUAAACACAUGGCUUAUGGACACAACCCCACAGUGGCAAAGCUGCACCUAGAAAGAAAAGAACGUUAGACUCUUGUUGGAUUAUUUACAAUGUCAUUAUUCCCUAUUUGUUUGUAUUUUUAUUAAUGACACAUGACAAAGUGACAGAAAAAGGGCCUCUGUUCUUCAUGGAUUUUAAAUUCAGGAGAAGAGAGAGCGGGGGGGGGGGGUAGUGUGUGUGUGGUGAGAGGGAUGAAGCUGGUGAGUGUAGCAGAGGGGAAAGGAGGCAACUACCCACUAUUUUUUAUUCAUUCCCCAGAAUGAAUGGGUGGGGAAGGGGGGCACUACACCAAAAUGCCAUGGUGUCCAGAAAAAAACUUCCACUGUUCAGUUGCACUGAUGAAAAAGUUUGCUCUGUGUGAAGAGCUGAAUAUAUGGAUAGGUAUCCAGUUGUAGCCCAGGUGGCAAAGUGUGUUAAAGCACUGAGCUGCUGAACUUGCAGACCGAAAGGUCCCAGGUUCAAAUCCCGGGAGCGGAGUGAGCGCCCGCUGUUGCUCCAGCUCCUGCCAACCUAGCAGUUUGAAAACAUGCAAAUGUGAGUAGAUAAAUAGGUACUGCUUUAGUGGGAAGGUAAUGGUGCUCCAUGCAGUCAUGCUGGCUACAUGACCUUGGAGGUGUCUACGGACAACGCCGGCUCUUCAGCUUAGAAAUGGAGAUGAGCACCAUCUCCCAGAGUCGGACUCGACUAGACUUAAUGUCAAGGGGAAACCUUUACCUUUAUUCAGUUAGAUACCUAUUUAGAAGUGCAUCCUAAAGACAUUCUGACACAAGAUAAGUGUCUCCAAGCUUGUGUUUCUGUUACUCCCUCCUCUAAGUGAUCAUUGCACAUAUGUGACAGGAGGAGGUAGUUGUUACAUGGGCAACCUGGUCCCUAAGACUUUGCAGGCAGGGGAUAGAUCGUGCACAUCUACAGACCUAUUGCUAGGAUCUUUUGUGAGAACAUGCUGCUAAAAUGAGAGGAUACCCUA
rnacentral:lncRNA from 1 species